rnacentral:rRNA from 1 species
AUGUUCGUCGCUGAUUCUUUUGAAACUGAGGCAAGGGCGAUAAGAUGGUUGGAUGGUCAAAUAAUAGUGAUAUCAAACACCAAGUUCAGUAUGUUGGAAGGGGAAUUCGGCAAUUACACGACCACAUGUAAGCCCUUAAAAGAGAAGAAGCUCAAGUGCAAGGAAGAUUCAACAAUUGAUCGGUUUGAAAUGCGAGGCGAUAUCUGGGCAAGGAGAAGGACAUGCCUGCGGGAUAACUCUGCCUUUCACUUGAUCCAGUGGAGGAGGACAGCGGGGCUUCGGCGAGUACAAGUGCAGCAGCCACGGGAAGCCUCAUCGCAGAAUGACAGCAACACGCUCCUUAAGGAACUGCAUGUCACGAUGAAGAGUCUCCUCGAAGAAUUGAAAGUCAACACCAAGGCAGCGACGGAGUCAAGCCAGCUUAUCGCCAAAUCUUGUCAAGAAGUUAUCGAGGCCUGCAAGAUCUCUGCGACCAGCACGGGGACCGGUAUAGUGAACUGA